GAACUGUGCGAACGUUAUUCGGAAUCACUGGGCUUAAAGGGUGCGUAGGCGGCUUCGUAGGUGGGGUGUGAAAGCCCUCGGCUCAACCGAGGAAUUGCGCUCCAAACCACGGAGCUUGAGGAAGACAGAGGUGAGCGGAACUGAUGGUGGAGCGGUGAAAUGCGUUGAUAUCAUCAGGAACACCGGUGGCGAAAGCGGCUCACUGGGUCUUUUCUGACGCUGAGGCACGAAAGCUAGGGGGAGCGAACGGGAUUAGAUACCCCGGUAGUCCUAGCUGUAAACGAUGAGCACUAGUCCCGUGGGGGGCUCCCCACACCCCCCUCUCGGACGUAGCGAAAGUGUUAAGUGCUCCGCCUGGGGAGUAUGGUCGCAAGGCUG
rnacentral:rRNA from 1 species